AGAGUUUGAUCCUGGCUCAGAACGAACGCUGGCGGCAUGCCUUAUACAUGCAAGUCGAACGAGAAAGUCACUUCGGUGGCGAGUACAGUGGCGCACGGGUGAGUAACGCGUAGAUGAUCUACCCUUCAGUCUGGGACAACUCUUGGAAACGGGAGCUAAUACCGGAUAAAACCUUCGGGUUGAAAGAUUUAUCGCUGGGGGAUGAGUCUGCGUACCAUUAGCUUGUUGGUGGGGUAACGGCCUACCAAGGCGACGAUGGUUAGCGGGUCUGAGAGGACGAUCCGCCACACUGGAACUGAGACACGGUCCAGACUCCUACGGGAGGCAGCAGUAGGGAAUAUUGCGCAAUGGGGGCAACCCUGACGCAGCAAUGCCGCGUGAGUGAAGAAGGCCUUCGGGUCGUAAAGCUCUUUUAUGGGGGAAGAUGAUGACGGUACCCCAUGAAUAAGCACCGGCUAACUACGUGCCAGCAGCCGCGGUAAUACGUAGGGUGCGAGCGUUGUUCGGAAUUACUGGGCGUAAAGGGCGUGCAGGCGGAUUGGCAAGCCGGAGGUGAAAGCCCGGGGCUCAACCCCGGAGGGUCUUUCGGAACUGCCAGUCUUGAGAGGGUCAGGGGCCAGUGGAAUUCCUGGUGUAGAGGUGAAAUUCGUAGAGAUCAGGAGGAACACCGGCGGCGAAAGCGGCUGGCUGGGGCCACUCUGACGCUGAGGCGCGAAAGCGUGGGGAGCAAGCAGGAUUAGAUACCCUGGUAGUCCACGCCGUAAACGAUGGGCACUAAGCGUCCGACGGGUUCGACCCUGUUGGGUGCUGCAGUUAACGCGUUAAGUGCCCCGCCUGGGGAGUACGGUCGCAAGACUAAAACUCAAGGAAUUGACGG
rnacentral:rRNA from 1 species